UACGUAGGGUGCAAGCGUUGUCCGGAAUUAUUGGGCGUAAAGGGCUCGUAGGCGGUUUGUCGCGUCGGGAGUGAAAACCCAGGGCUUAACCCUGGGCUGGCUUUCGAUACGGGCAGACUAGAGGUAUGCAGGGGAGAACGGAAUUCCUGGUGUAGCGGUGAAAUGCGCAGAUAUCAGGAGGAACAUCGGUGGCGAAGGCGGUUCUCUGGGCAUUACCUGACGCUGAGGAGCGAAAGUGUGGGGAGCGAACAGG
rnacentral:rRNA from 1 species